rnacentral:rRNA from 1 species
AGUGAACGCUGGCGGUAGGCCUAACACAUGCAAGUCGAACGGCAGCACAGUAAGAGCUUGCUCUUACGGGUGGCGAGUGGCGGACGGGUGAGGAAUACAUCGGAAUCUACUUUUUCGUGGGGGCUAAUGUAGGGAAACUUACGCUAAUACCGCAUACGACCUACGGGUGAAAGCAGGGGAUCUUCGGACCUUGCGCGAGUGAAUGAGCCGAUGUCGGAUUAGCUAGUUGGCGGGGUAAAGGCCCACCAAGGCGACGAUCCGUAGCUGGUAUGAGAGGAUGAUCAGCCACACUGGAACUGAGACACGGUACCGACUCCUACGGGAGGCGGCAGUGGGGAAUAUUGGACAAUGGGCGCAAGCGUGAUCCAGCCAUACCGCGUGGGUGAAGAAGGACUUCGGGUUGGAAAGCCAUUUUGUUGGGAAAGAAAAGCAGCAGGUUAAUACCCCGCUGUUCUGACGGUACCCAAAGAAUAAGCACCGGCUAACUUCGUG